rnacentral:rRNA from 1 species
GGGAAUUUUGCGCAAUGGGGGGAACCCUGACGCAGCAACGCCGCGUGGAGGAUGAAGUCUCUUGGGACGUAAACUCCUUUCGACAGGGACGAUAAUGACGGUACCUGUAGGAGAAGCCCCGGCUAACUUCGUGCCAGCAGCCGCGGUAAUACGAGGGGGGCAAGCGUUGUUCGGAAUUAUUGGGCGUAAAGGGCGCGUAGGCGGUUUGGCAAGUUUCGUGUGAAAUCUUCGGGCUCAACUCGAAGUCUGCACGGAAAACUGCCGGGCUUGAGUAUGGGAGAGGUGAGUGGAAUUUCCGGUGUAGCGGUGAAAUGCGUAGAUAUCGGAAGGAACACCUGUGGCGAAAGCGGCUCACUGGACCAUAACUGACGCUGAGGCGCGAAAGCUAGGGGAGCAAA